CUUGAACGCUGGCGGCAGGCCUAACACAUGCAAGUCGAACGAGUGGCGGACGGGUGAGUAAUGUCUGGGAAACUGCCUGAUGGAGGGGGAUAACUACUGGAAACGGUAGCUAAUACCGCAUACCAUCAGAUGUGCCCAGAUGGGAUUAUCUUGCUGGUGGGGUAACGGCUCACCAAGGCGACGAUCCCUAGCUGGUCUGAGAGGAUGACCAGCCACACUGGGACUGAGGCACGGUCCAGACUCCGCCGGGAGGCAGCAGUGGGGAAUAUUGGACAAAGGGCGGAAGCCUGAGGCAGCCAUGCCGCGUGUAAGGAAAAGGCCUUCGGGUUGUAAAGGUCUUUCAGCGGGGAAGCGUUACCCGCAGGAGGAGGACCGGCUAACUCCGUGCCAACAGCCGCGGUAAUAC
rnacentral:rRNA from 1 species